rnacentral:rRNA from 1 species
UACGUAGGGGGCAAGCGUUGUCCGGAAUCAUUGGGCGUAAAGAGCGUGUAGGCGGCCCGAUAAGUCCGCUGUGAAAGUCCAGGGCUCAACCCUGGAAUGCCAGUGGAAACUGUCGGGCUAGAGUCCGGAAGAGGCGAGUGGAAUUCCUGGUGUAGCGGUGAAAUGCGCAGAUAUCAGGAGGAACACCGGUGGCGAAGGCGGGUCUCUGGACAGUUCCUGACGCUGAGGCACGAAGGUCAGGGGAGCAAACGGG